GAGGAUCUUACCUUUGCCUUUAACCGGGACUUUAGAGGAAUCUCCGAAGGUGAUAUUUCCACUUAUUGCCUCGUCUAACUCCACUAACAUGAUUUUGUCACCGCACAUAUGGUUGCUUGCACCCGUGUCAAGAUACCACAAAUUCGAUCCUCCAUUGUCUCCACCUUUGCAUGCUAGUAACAAAGUGUUUUCCACGGCUUCGGUAUCUUCUUGUGCAAAAUUUGCUCUUUCUUGCACGUAAUUGUUUGACUUCUNNN
rnacentral:lncRNA from 1 species